AACGCACGAGACCUGCGGACCUGCGGAGGGAUCAUUACCGAGUUUACAACUCCCAAACCCAAUGUGAACGUUACCAAACUGUUGCCUCGGCGGGAUCUCUGCCCCGGGUGCGUCGCAGCCCCGGACCAAGGCGCCCGCCGGAGGACCAACCAAAACUCUUUUGUAUACCCCCUCGCGGGUUUUUAUAUCUGGGCCAUCUCGGCGCCUCUCGUAGGCGUUUCGAAAAUGAAUCAAAACUUU
rnacentral:misc_RNA from 1 species